UACGAAGGGGGCUAGCGUUGCUCGGAAUCACUGGACGUAAAGGGUGCGUAGGCGGGUCUUUAAGUCAGGGGUGAAAUCCUGGAGCUCAACUCCAGAACUGCCUUUGAUACUGAAGAUCUUGAGUUCGGGAGAGGUGAGUGGAACUGCGAGUGUAGAGGUGAAAUUCGUAGAUAUUCGCAAGAACACCAGUGGCGAAGGCGGCUCACUGGCCCGAUACUGACGCUGAGGCACGAAAGCGUGGGGAGCAAACAGG
rnacentral:rRNA from 1 species